rnacentral:rRNA from 1 species
UACAGAGGUCUCAAGCGUUGUUCGGAUUCAUUGGGCGUAAAGGGUGUGUAGGUGGCGCCGUAAGUCGGGUGUGAAAUUUCGGAGCUUAACUCCGAAACUGCAUUCGAUACUGCGGUGCUUGAGGACUGGAGAGGAGACUGGAAUUCAUGGUGUAGCAGUGAAAUGCGUAGAUAUCAAGAGGAACACCUGAGGUGAAGACGGCAUCCUGGACCAAUUCUGACACUGAGGAGCGAAAGCCAGGGGAGCAAACGGG